rnacentral:rRNA from 1 species
GUGUGUGGCCAAACCUCAUUGUCAAAGCCUGAUCUAGUCAGAUCUCAGAAGCUAAACAAGGCUGGGCUAGUUUAGUACUUCGAUGGGAGACCAGUGUGUCCUUAGGCAAGGCACUUCACCCA